GGUCAAGUUAUUAAGGGUGCAGGGCGGAUGCCUUGGCACUAGGAGCCGAUGAAGGACGUGAUAAGCUGCGAUAAGCUUCGGGGAGUUGCACGUAAACUUUGAUCCGAAGAUUUCCGAAUGAGGAAACUCACUUAGAGUAAUGUCUAAGUAUCAUUAAGUGAAUACAUAGCUUAAUGAGGGGAACUCAGGGAACUGAAACAUCUAAGUACCUGAAGGAAGAGAAAGAAAUUCGAUUCCGUAAGUAGCGGCGAGCGAACGCGGAUUAGCCCAAACCAAUAAAGUUUUCUUUAUUGGGGUUGCGGACAUAUCAUAACGAAGAGGUAUCGUAAUUGAAGAGGUUUGGAAAGACCCACCACAGAAGGUAAUAGUCCUGUAUGUUAAACGAGAAGACUUCAGAUAUGAUCCAGAGUACCACGGGACACGUGAAACCCUGUGGGAAGCAGGAGGGACCACCCUCCAAGGCUAAAUACUACCUAGUGACCGAUAGCGUAUAGUACCGUGAGGGAAAGGUGAAAAGAACCCCGGGAGGGGAGUGAAAUAGAACCUGAAACCCUGCACUUACAAGCUGUGGAAGCACAUUUCUUGUGUGACCGCGUACUUUUUGUAGAACGGGCCAACGAGUUACGUUAAGUAGCAAGGUUAAGCACUUAAGGUGUGGAGCCGUAGCGAAAGCGAGUUUUAACUGAGCGUUCAGUUACUUGACGUAGACCCGAAACCGGGCGACCUACCCAUGAGCAGGAUGAAGCGAAAGUAAAAUUUCGUGGAGGUCCGAACCCACGAGCGUUGAAAAGCUCGGGGAUGACUUGUGGGUAGCGGUGAAAUUCCAAUCGAGCCCGGAGAUAGCUGGUUCUCCCCGAAAUAGCUUUAGGGCUAGCCUCAAGGUGAGAGAUACGGAGGUAGAGCACUGAAUGUCCUAGGGGGUAUUGCACCUACCGAAGACUAUCAAACUCCGAAUGCCGUCAUCUUAUACUUGGGAGUCAGACUGUGGGUGAUAAGAUUCAUAGUCGAAAGGGCAACAGCCCAGAUCGUCAGCUAAGGUCCCUAAAUGUAAGUUAAGUGGUAAAGGAUGUGGGAUUGCACAGACAACCAGGAUGUUGGCUUAGAAGCAGCCACUCAUUCAAAGAGUGCGUAAUAGCUCACUGGUCGAGUGAUCCUGCGCCGAAGAUUUCCGGGGCUAAAACUUACUACCGAAGCUACGGCAUCAGUAAUGAUGGGUAGGGGAGCUUCCCAUACGGGUUGAAGCAUGACCGUAAGGACAUGUGGACAGUAUGGGAGUGAGAAUGUUGGCAUGAGUAGCGAGAUGUGGGUGAGAAUCCCACAGGCCGUAAACCCAAGGUUUCCAGGGGAAGGUUCGUCCGCCCUGGGUUAGUCGGGACCUAAGCUGAGGCCGAAAGGCGUAGGUGAUGGACAACAGGUUGAUAUUCCUGUACUACCGAUAACCGUUUGAGAGAAGGGAUGACACAGUAGGAUAAGCUAAGCACACUGUUGGUUAUGUGUGCCCAAGCAUUGAGGCAGUCAAAGUAGGCAAAUCCGCUUUGAUAAUGCUGGGAUGUGAUGGGGAGCGAAAUUUAGUAGCGAAGUAGCUGAUUUCACACUGUCAAGAAAAGUCUCUAUCGAGGUUAAAGGUACCCGUACCGCAAACCGACACAGGUGGGUGAGGAGAGUAUCCUAAGGCCAGCGAGAGAACUGUUGUUAAGGAACUCGGCAAAAUGACCCCGUAACUUAGGGAUAAGGGGUGCCACCAUCAGGUGGCCGCAGAGAAUAGGCCCAAGCGACUGUUUACCAAAAACAUAGGUUUCUGCUAAGUCGCAAGACGAUGUAUAGGAGCUGACGCCUGCCCGGUGCUGGAAGGUUAAGGGGAUCUGUUAGAGCAAUCGAAGCAGUGAACUUAAGCCCCAGUAAACGGCGGCCGUAACUAUAACGGUCCUAAGGUAGCGAAAUUCCUUGUCGGGUAAGUUCCGACCCGCACGAAAGGCGUAACGAUUUGGGCACUGUCUCAACAACAGACUCGGUGAAAUUGUAAUUCCGGUGAAGAUGCCGGAUACCUGCGACAGGACGGAAAGACCCCAUGGAGCUUUACUGUAGCUUGACAUUGGGUCUUGGUACUACAUGUACAGGAUAGGUGGGAGGCUUUGAAACCAGGACGCCAGUUUUGGCGGAGCCAUCCUUGGGAUACCACCCUUGUAGUACUGGGACUCUAACCAUAGGCCAUGAAUCUGGUCUUGGGACACUGUCAGGUGGGCAGUUUGACUGGGGCGGUCGCCUCCCAAAAGGUAACGGAGGCGCUCAAAGGUUCUCUCAGUACGGUCGGAAAUCGUACGUAGAGUGUAAAGGCAAAAGAGAGCUUGAUUGCAAGACAUACAGGUCGAGCAAGGAUGAAAAUCGGACUUAGUGAUCCGGUGGUUCUGCGUGGAAGGGCCAUCGCUCAACGGAUAAAAGCUACCCUGGGGAUAACAGGCUUAUCUCCCCCAAGAGUCCACAUCGACGGGGAGGUUUGGCACCUCGAUGUCGGCUCAUCACAUCCUGGGGCUGUAGUAGGUCCCAAGGGUUGGGCUGUUCGCCCAUUAAAGUGGUACGCGAGCUGGGUUCAGAACGUCGUGAGACAGUUCGGUCCCUAUCCGUCGCAGGCGUAGGAAAUUUGAGAAGACCUGUCCUUAGUACGAGAGGACCGGGAUGGACGUACCUCUGGUGUACCAGUUGUUCUGCCAAGGGCAUGGCUGGGUAGCUAUGUACGGAAUGGAUAAGCGCUGAAAGCAUCUAAGCGCGAAGCCAA
rnacentral:rRNA from 1 species